CAAUUUUCAGUGUGAACAGUACAAGGGAUUUUUUUAAAGAAACAAUUCAAAAUUCAGGAAGCCAGUAACGUGCCGCUUCCGCAGCUGUGUACGAUCAAUGAAAAUCGCGUUGAGUUAAUAAAACACUCAAAUGCAAACAAUUGUUUUAAAUCAUGGAAAUCCGCUAAUGCACGGGAGCGUUUCACGCGUAUCGCUGGGAAUCUUUUUUUCCUUCCAAUCCCCACAAUCGAUUUCGUUCCAUUUGCCGUGAUGUAUUCAUCCAUACGAAAUACAGGCGACAGAAUAUGUAAAAGGAGGCAACUUUAUCUGGAGAAAAGUUAAGGUGGAGCAGCUGACGAAUAUGCAAAUGGUAUAAGGUGUGUGUGAGUGUGGCCUCCCUUUUCGUCGGCAAAAUGGAAAUACGAUGAGGCUGCCACCGCCGCCGCUGCCGCUGUCUUUCGUCGACCUGAUGCGUGGAAUUAUGAA